UUGUGAUAAGUGAACAUUUUGUCAUAUAUUUCUUGGCCAUUUGUCUUCUUUUGAGAGAUGGCUAUUCAGAUCAUUUGCCCAUUUUUAAAUCUGAUUUUUUUUUCCUGCUGAGAUGUUUUAGUUUCUGGUUUAUUCUGGGUAUUAAUCCCCUUUUGGAUGAAUAGUUUGCUUAUAUUUUCUCCCAUUCUAUAGGUUGUCUUUUCACUCUGCUGAUUGUUUCCUUUGCUGUAUAGAAGUUUUUUAGUGUGACAUAAUCCCAUGUGUUUGUUUUUGCUUUUGUUGCCUGGGCUUUUGAAGUUGUAUUCAUAAAAUAUUUUCCCAGAUUAACGUCCUGAGGCAUUUCCCCUGUUUUCUUUCAGUAGUUUUAUA
rnacentral:lncRNA from 10 species